AAGUACAGGUAUUAAACGGCC
rnacentral:siRNA from 1 species